GGGGGUCGAUCUAGUCGUCGGCUGCAGAGGUGUGGGGCGGGGUUGCACAGGGGAUCCACCCUUUUCUGUCGCGGUUGGCGUUGCGCGAGGCCGAGGUCGGAGGAGGCGUUCACAUGGACCUCGAUGUCGCAGGUGCCCUUGGAGAGAUCCCAGUUGGCGACCCUGAAGGUGCUGCGUUCCUAAGAAAUCUCGAGGAUCUGGUACCUCCAGAUGGAGUUCUUGAGGGACGCCAUGCCGUCGCGGUCGCAUCCGACCUGGAAGGCCCGGUAGCCGCACUCCGGCGGGUGGGUGCCACCGAGCCAGAAGGGAUAUACGAUGCGGAGGCCACCGCACACUGCCGUCUCGCAGGACGUCGAGGACGACGAUGGUGUUUGUGGUGUUUUGGGCGCUUGUGGUGGUGCCAGAGAUUUCUUAAACGGUAACAACUACAUGGCCUGGGUGUUCAAGGAGU
rnacentral:lncRNA from 1 species